GGCACAUCUCCAACCACUUCGAUGUAACUCUGUCAGGAAACCUGCUUGCUACCCAGGGUGAACAGUGUGACAAAGGCUUCCACUACAGUCUCUGAUCAUCACUACAUCCUGGGGUUCCAGUGUAGUAGAAAACCUCGCGAUUGAUAUCUGUGAUGACAGUGCUUCAUCAGAGCAAGAUGAACAGCAGGCGAGGUAAUAAGUGUAAACUACUGUUUGUUUGUCAUUAGAAGACAGUUUCAGAAAAUUCAACUCUUCU